UUCCCUGGUGUAGAAUUUUGAU
rnacentral:siRNA from 1 species